rnacentral:rRNA from 1 species
UACGGAGGGUGCGAGCGUUGUCCGGAAUCAUUGGGCGUAAAGGGCGCGUAGGUGGCGGGACAAGCGUGCGGUGAAAGCCUGGGCUCAACCCCGGGUCGGCCGUGCGAACUGUUUGCUUGAGCACUGUAGAGGCAGGCGGAAUUCCGGGUGUAGCGGUGGAAUGCGUAGAGAUCCGGAAGAACACCGGUGGCGAAGGCGGCCUGCUGGGCAGUAGCUGACACUGAGGCGCGACAGCGUGGGGAGCAACAGG